rnacentral:hammerhead_ribozyme from 1 species
AUUCAGCUGACGUAACCCAAAAAGGACGAAACGCGCGUCCUGGAU